rnacentral:lncRNA from 1 species
GGGACUCAUCAUGUCGCCGCCACCCUUCAAGCCCCACCUGAUGCUAACCUCUUCGAUAAGGCUCCCUUGCCGCACACCCUUCCCGUCCGCCGCCGCUCCUCUACCGUUAGAGGUGGCACCGUCACCAUCUCGCUCAUCGACAACUGCACCUCCCCAGCAUUCUCUCUAUCCUAGUCGGCCAUAAAUCCUCGUAUUGCCCUAUAAAAAUCCCUGUCACUAACCCCUAAUCCCGAACCCUGACAUCAAUAGAGCAUCGUCCAAUCGUCGGAGCAUGCCCAACCGACGGUCGAAAUCAGAGGUUUGUCUCCAUUACUAUUUUCUUGAUCCUCAUUCUAAUUUUGUUCGUCACCUUCGUUCCUUUCUUAAUUUGCAACAACCAUCCGUUUCGGCAGGAGGGCUCUCGCGUUAGGCUAAAACGGGAGCCUUCUUUGUUUUACCUUUUUUUUCCCCUAUCGCUAGUGAUAUACGGUAACAAGUGGAUACACGAAGCGAUCGCCACAGUAGCUACUACGCUACUCGAUCACACGAGCUGUGAACAGGACAAUAAUCGAAAUGGUGACCAGUUCUCUUCUCACAGGGCUGCCCAUUGAAUUUUGCAGUCACGGGUUGAGGUGGACUCCACAUCACAUGAAAACGGGUGCUAAUUCACUUGAUCUCCGUAUGUAAGGCAAUGUAGCCGAAUCAAUCAAUUCGCUCCGGUCGGUCACACGGAUACCGGGAUGCGUACGACGUCGUCGGGUUCCUUCAAUUCCCAUGGAGUCAUUGCAUUGCUCGAAGCCGGCCGGCCGUCGUCGGUCACCGACUCGCCGCUGAAGCUGUACGCCCAUCCAGCCAUUCCAGAAAGCGUUACCAGUGGUCUCAUCAAAGACCAUGAGGCGCGCACGCAGACCGUAGGAGAUGAGGGCGGCAACUGAUCUGAUCACACCACGCGGGGCGCUGUCUCUGGCUGUCAUCGUGGUCAUCGAUCUCUUUGAUGGCCUGCGCUGCGGGCGACGUCGUCUCAUCUGCCUGUCUCUCGUGGCGUGGUGUGGUCACGCAUCUCCUUUUGGCCUGCGCCGCUCCGCGGCUGGCCUGCGCUGCAGACGUCGCGUAGGCUCGUAGCCGGCCACGUAAUCGGCUACGCGCUCACCGCCAAACAUGCAUGGCCUGCGCUCCGCCGUGUACGUGGCGACGUACGUGCCAAACUCGCUUCAGUUCCCUCUUCUGAUGCCUUACGUAGCUCACGCUUUCAGUCAGACUAGGCUAGGUAUACGUAUACAGCCGCCAUGAGAGAGACAGCAGACAACACAACACAGGAAGGCCAUCUAUUCGUUUUAACUUCUUUUUUUUUAUCUAGAUAUGCAUUAGCACCAGGCGGGUUAGCAUUCAAUCCAAACAUGAACGAUCAUAGGAACAUGGCAGACUUUUCUACUCAAUCAAAAUUUAUUAAAUUAGAAAAGCUACAGUGAAUUGUAAUUGGGACGGGAAAAGUAGAACAGAGAGAGAUUCAGUAUCUCGGUCCAUCAUGAGAUUGGACAACAGAAACAGAUGCUACAGCUGUGCAUGUUAGAUAUAGCGCACGUGACCACCACCCGGUGCUGGAUCGAUCUCAGCGUUGAAUUGGGCAUGCCAAUGUCCCCCCCUUUCUUUACCACUUCCCUCUCUCCAGCUAGGCAGCUACAAAGUCCGACCCGUUUCAACUUUGUUCUCUCCGACGUUUUGCUGUUGUGUAGCAGAUGCCAAUGUUCACUUAAUUUGCCACAUAAUUUUACUGCUGAAAAUUGGAAAUGUUAUCGUCGUUGGCGAGCCCGCAGAUCCUGAUGACCACUCUUGACUUCACGCCAUCCAUCGGUUCGGUCCUGCUCGUCCCGUGCACCUCUCCGCUCGCCCACGACAACGUCUGCUCCGUUACUUUACGUGCCCUGUUUGGAUGCCCUGUUUAAUACUCAUCCAUUCCCUCCGUUCCAAAUUAUAGAUCGUUUUAGCCUUUUUUUAGAUUCAUAGACUUUAUUAAGUACUUAGAUAUACAAACGUAGAUGCAUAAUAAUAUUUAUGCACGUAGAAAAGUCAAAACAACCUAUAAUCUAGAAUGGCUUACAAAUAUAAUCCGGAACGGCUUAAAAAUUUUAUAGAACUCGAUGACGCCACAUGUUCGAUGACAAGUUUGCAUAUGGCUGCAAGUUCAAGUACCACAUGUAUAUAUUUGCGUUGACCAGGGAUCGUAGUACGAACGGAAAGCAUCCCUAAGAUAAGAUAUAGAUAUAUACAAAGCCAACAUCCCUAAGAUAUAUUUAUAUAGCCAAUAGCCAUCACAAAGCUCCUAAACGGACACCACCACACCAUGCCGACCGUAGUACGAACUGAAAGCAUCCCUAAGAUACAAAUAUAGCCAACGUCCCUAAGAUGGAGUAUAGCCCUCCCGAAUGGACCGCACCAGACAGGCGCUCGAGGGUUUAGAAAUGGGCCAAAAUCUGGCGGCGAUCUCUGGAUGCCGACCAUCGAUAAUCUAUUACCACGUUUUGCCUUCACCUGCUUCAAUUUUUACAAAUAAGCCGCAGCAGCAAGUUGCAAGAAGUAUAUGGGAAAUAUUCUUUUACACUAUCAUAUCAUACUUCUCGACGACAGCAUUUGUGAUAAACAUAAUAGUAGUUGCAAGGGGAAAAGGCCCAAAGCAACGCUAGCCUGCUCGGCCUUGCAAAAGGUUGCAGGGAUCUUGAACCGUUCAAAUAUACGUGGGCCUCUGUUGUACCAUCAAUGCUUUUCACAGGAAGUGGAAGCGAUAAACAAACUGUCACACAGGAAGUAAACGCGAUAAACACUAUCCUGGCACUCGAAAGCUUAAAUCAGACAGUGAAACAGAGCAAAGUCUAGCUAAAGCUUCUGGAGAAAACAUUAGGCAAAACCAAGAAAAUCUGAUACUAACUUGCUGCUCAGUUCUGACAUCUUUGUUUUUGCUCCAGACCUCCAGCUCCAGUGUUCUGCCUGCUGACAGAAACGUGAACCUGACCAACAACCUGAUGAUCCGUGGAAAUCGUCUGCCAUUUCCUUUUGUCAUUCUGCUUUCACUCAAAUGCAGCAUGGACAUGCUCUUGCUGUUAGAUCUUC